rnacentral:rRNA from 1 species
UACGUAGGGUGCAAGCGUUGUCCGGAAUUAUUGGGCGUAAAGAGCUCGUAGGUGGUCUGUCGCGUCUGGUGUGAAAACUCAGGGCUUAACCCUGGGCCUGCAUCGGGUACGGGCAGACUAGAGUGUGGUAGGGGAGACUGGAAUUCCUGGUGUAGCGGUGAAAUGCGCAGAUAUCAGGAGGAACACCGGUGGCGAAGGCGGGUCUCUGGGCCGAUACUGACGCUGAGGAGCGAAAGCGUGGGGAGCAAACAGG